AUUGAACGCUGGCGGCAGGCUUAACACAUGCAAGUCGAGCGGUAACACAGAGAAGCUUGCUUCUCUGCUGACGAGCGGCGGACGGAUGAGUAAUGCCUAGGAAUCUGCCUAGUAGUGGGGGAUAACUUGCCGAAAGGUAAGCUAAUACCGCAUACGUCCUACGGGAGAAAGGAGGGGACCUUCGGGCCUUUCGCUAUUAGAUGAGCCUAGGUCGGAUUAGUUAGUUGGUGAGGUAAUGGCUCACCAAGACCGCGAUCCGUAACUGGUCUGAGAGGAUGAUCAGUCACACUGGAACUGAGACACGGUCCAGACUCCUACGGGAGGCAGCAGUGGGGAAUAUUGGACAAUGGGGGGAACCCUGAUCCAGCCAUGCCGCGUGUGUGAAGAAGGUCUUAGGAUUGUAAAGCACUUUAAGUUGGGAGGAAGAGCAGUUAACUAAUAUUUGACUGUUUUGACGUUACCGACAGAAUAAGCACCGGCUAACUUCGUGUCAGCCGCCGCCGUAA
rnacentral:rRNA from 1 species